CAGCAUCCAAUUUAUAAUUGUACAUAUUUUUAUUAUAAGCAUAAAAAGAAAAACCAGCCUAACAAUACUAGGCUGUUACAAAAGGUAGUAGUUAGAAUAUCCUUUUCAGUUAGAGAUGGGUAUUCGUCCAAUCCAAAACUCAUUUAAAGAUCCGGAUUCAAAUGUAUGAUUAAAGGAUGACAUACUCUUGAUUUCAAUAAGGUUUUCAUUUUCGAACAAGAAUACCAUGGCAUGUUUUUUUUUGUUCACAAAAGGAUUUUUUGUAUCCAAUCAAUGUCAUUAUAAUAUCAGGAAAGUACUGAGACAAGGAUUUUCAAGAUUUUCCAAAUGUUAUUCGAUAAUGUUUUUUCUUAUGUUUUUCCAAAUAUUAUAUAAAAUAAUUUUCUCUAUUUUCACAUACAUCUGAGAUUAUUCCGCAGAACCUAAGGAUUCCGUGAAACACACUGGGAAUCACUGGUCUAGAUAUAUAAUUUUUUAUAAAGGUUAAAAUGAAUAACAGCUAAUAUUAUGUAUCUUUA